UGUGGGGUUGGUCAGUGUCUUCCGUUAGCGUUAGCACCAUUUAGCCAUGCUGCUGUGGGGUUGGUCAGUGUCUCCCGUUAGCGCCAUUUAGCCAUGAUGUCUGUGGGGUUGGUCAGUGUCUCCCGUUAGCGUUAGCAUUAGCGUAAUUUAGCCAUGAUGUCUGAGGGGUUGGUCAGUGUCUCCCGUUAGCGCCAUUUAGCCAUGAUGUCUGUGGGGUUGGUCAGUGUCUCCCGUUAGCGUUAGCAUCAUUUAGCCAUGCUGCUGUGGGGGUUGGUCAGUGUCUCCCGUUAGCGUUAGCGCCAUUUAGCCAUGAUGUCUGUGGGGUUGGUCAGUGUCUUCCGUUAGCGUUAGCAUCAUUUAGCCAUGAUGUCUGUGGGGUUGGUCAGUGUCUCCCAUUAGCGUUAGCAUAAUUUAGCCAUGAUGUCUGUGGGGUUGGUCAGUGUCUCCCAUUAGCGUUAGCAUUAGCGUAAUUUAGCCAUGCUGCUGUGGGGUUGGUAAGUGUCUCCUGUUAGCGCCAUUAAGCCAUGAUGUCUGAGGGGUUGAGCACCAUGUGGUGAUAAACCUGAGACACGCUGGGGUGGUGAUGGCCUCCAGAGCCACAGAGGGAGCAGCGGGUCGGAACACCGUGUGGAACUCCUCUCCCUUCCUGUUUGAGCUGCCGCGCGGAGACGUGACACAGCUACCGCUGAUCAUGGAGUUUAUUCUCAUAAAGGGUUGCCUGUAUUCAACCAGCAACGUGGUGGGCCGCAUUGUGAUUGGCCAAGAGGCUAAGGAGGAGGGGCAAGCCCACUGGAGAGACAUGUGCAACAGGAGCCAAGUGGAAGUUGCUCGAUGGCAUGUCGUCCAAUCAGAAACACUGUAGGAUGCUUUCUACCAGUCGUCCAAUCAGAAACACUGUAGGAUGCUUUCUACCAGUCAUCCAAUCAGAAGCACUGUGGGAUGCUUACCAUCAAUCAUCCAAUCAAAGACUCAGAAACUGACUGAACAAUAAGUGUGGUGGCAGCGCAAAGUGGAGUACCUGCUGAAGAGUGAGACUCUGCAUGAGACACUGACUGUCUGGGAAGACAAGGAACUGAUGAAAAUAGACAUUUUGCAUAAACAUUUGAAUAGUUUGUAGCCAUGUGUGUGUGUG